GAUGAACGCUAGCUACAGGCUUAACACAUGCAAGUCGAGCGACCGGCGCACGGGAGAGUAACACGUAUCCAACCUGCCUGUUACUCGGGGAUAGCCUUUCGAGAGAAAGAUUAAUACCCGACGUAAAGGAUGGGGAUGCGUUCCAUUAGGUUGUUGGUGAGGUAACGGCCAACCAAGCCUUCGAUGGAUGGCGGUUCUGAGGGGAAGGUCCCCCAGAUUGGAGCCGAGGUCCAGUCCACACUGCGAGGCAGCGCAGGGGUGAGUAGUAUUAUUGAAUGAAGUUUAGCCUGGACCAGCCGAGUAGCGUGAAGAAUGAAGGCUUUUGAAACUUAAUCUUCUUGGAUAUAAGGUUCGGUAUUAUAUGAAGAAGGAUCGGCUAACUCCGUGCCAGCAGCCGCGGUAAUUC
rnacentral:rRNA from 1 species